rnacentral:lncRNA from 1 species
AGAAGCAGCAAACCGAGCAUCCGGUGCCUGCUGGGCAGUGGGAUUGGAGGACUCAUUAACGUACGAUGAUGCUUCCGAACAGGUCAGGACCGCCAGCAGUAGUAACCAGUCCCAUGAACGAAAAGCCAUAAACAUUGCAGGACCCAUGCCUGUGUGUCUCUGACUUCACACCUGGGUCCUGAUGUAUGCCACGCCUCUGCGGCGCGAAAUGGGUUUAAAGUGGAAGAUAGAUGUAACCCACUUCCACCGUGAAAAUCCAGAUGCCUGGAUGGGUUUCCAAAGUUGUCUUGAAUAGCAAGAUUGUUCAAAUGGCAGGCUUUGUGUUUGAAUGGUUUCCAGAACUAAAGCAUCCUACCAGGCAAGAACCUUGAAUGAGGCACUUCAGCAAGUUGACACUUCAGGGAAGCCAGACUAAGCCAAAGUCCUGUACUGUCGGUGUCCCUUCAAUCCCAGAUUUUAGAGUCAAUUAUUAAACAUCUGUACUUCA